AUUGUGGAUUUCAAUUUAUAUUCUGGUUUACAACUUAUAAAGAUAGUAUUUCAUUUAUAAUUCAGUUAAUUCUGCAAUCUCAAUGUUAUGACUAAAUUCAAUUUGUGGUAAAUACAUAUCCUGUAACUUUUCUAAAUGUUUUAAUAUGUUUAUAUAUCUUUAAGCUAUUUUAAAAUUUUGUAUAUUUUCAUCUAGUAUUAUUAAAGGUAAAUACCUAGUAUAGUGUACGAAAAAACAGCCUGUAUCACAUUAAAAGCAAUCAAGAGAAAUUAAAAUCAGAGUUAGGAUUAAUGAGUAACAUUUAUCCCAGCACCUUUCAAGAUUAUACACAGCUCCGUACUCAGUUUGUGGACAGCCUGAGCUCAUUUGGCCUUGUGUCAAAAGAAAGUGUGAAAACAGAAAAACUGAACACAUCCCUUCAACACAAAAGGAAUUUAAGAUAGCCAAAUACCAGAUCUACGAAAAGAACAUAAGGAUUGCAGCUUAAGUAAUAAUUGAAGAUUUGUGCAAGUCAAUUAAACUAUACAUGCUUGGAAAUUGCCACAUGGGACCAUCUUGAAUGAACAGUUUAUGCAAACAGAAAACAUGUUCAGGAAGAAUGUUAAAAUUUUAACACUUGUAAAUAGAAAGAAGAUGACAUUUGCCUGUCUUUGUAAUUUAUGAGGGUAUUUGCAAAUAAGCAUCAAAACAAGAAGAAAAUAUUAAAAAGACAUUUUGUGCCAGGACAUCAUGGUAGUGCUGGAUUGCCUAUCCAACUCUGUAUAAAGGUUUUUCAAACAAUUUGUGAAGAAUGUUAGUAUCUUCAGAGUCUUCUGCAUCAGCAAAGAGUAGUGCAUUAACUAAUGGAAAAGAGAAGAUAAAAUUUCUGGUGCUCAUGAUGACUAGUCCGAACCUGUGAACUUCUGAGAAAAUUUACAGUUCUGAAAACUAGAGGUGGUUACCGAAUUGAAUAGCCGUUGGUUCUACAGCCACUAUAAUGAUCUGAAAAGUUGAAUGUGUUGCAUGAACACUUUCAGGAAUCAUAAUAGAACUCAGCUAAUUAGAUAGAGACUGGAAUGUUGAUUUGAAGACAAUUACUUUAUAAAGAUUUUCUCAUUGCUGCUUUUGCAUUAUCCCAAGAAGUGGAGACACUACUACAUGGAUAAGAACUGUAUGAUUGAAUUGACUUUGGAAUCAUCUCAGUAUUGUCAUAAGUAUGAAGUGUAUUUCAUGGUACUUUUGAAGUUAGUUAUAGAAUUUUUUCAAUUGAUUUUUCUAUUUUUCAAAGGGUUUAGGUAAUAUGUAGCAUAGUCUGACUUGAGUGGUAACAUUUUAGAAAUAUACCAGGUACUGUUAGGGCAAUAUUGUGUGAAGAUUUACUUUUAUAGUGCAUGCCAAAUUUUGGGUUUUCUGGUACAUUUUAUUGGAUUUUAUUUAUUAAUAUUUGUUAUAAGAGCAGCUGAUUAUGGGUUAAGAUGAUAGUAUUACAGUUAUGUGUCAAAAUUCUAUUACUUUGAACUACAUUGGCUUGGUAUAUCAAGUCUACAUUUGAUUAAAUGUAGACUUAGCAGGAUUAAUGAAUUUGGCCAUUAAAACUACAGGAAUUUUAGUCAACAUUCCUCUCAUAUUUGUGUAUUUAUGUAUGUAUGUAUGUAUGUACAGGAAUUUUAGUCAACAUUCCUCUCAUUUGUAUAUGUAUGUAUGUAUGUAUUUAUUUAUUUAUUUAUUAUCAAAUCAUGCUGUUCAUUUCUGCUCAUUGUUUGAGUUUCCAUGCUAAUUAUCUAUUAUUCAUAAGUACAUUUAUAAAUAAGUCUGUAAGCAGGUCAUCAUGUAUGUCAGAUAAAAUACUGUGUUUUCUACUCUCUGUUUUAUUACUAAGUUGUAUAUGAAUUAUGCAUUAAAUACAGAAUGUUCUCUCUU
rnacentral:lncRNA from 1 species